AUGGUCCCCAUUAACCGCCUUCAUUCCUGUGUUAGCUUUUUGUUGAGGAGACAUCUGACAUCUAACUCUUGCAGCGAGUCGGGGAGGCCAUUCUCGGGCAGCGACCUGAUGGCUGGACACAGCCUGCUCUGUAAUCUCUUGAGGUUGGUGAGCUUGUGUAGCCCUGCUGGGAGACACCGCAGCUUGAUGCAAUCGUCGACAACUAACUCUUGCAGCGAGCCAGGGAGGCCAUUCUUUGGCAGCGACAGGAUGGCUCCAGGUCUCCAGAUCAAUAAUUUCUUGAGGUUGGUGAGCUUGUUUAGCCCUGCUGGGAGGCGCCGCAGCUUAGGACACCACUGGAAUUGGAGGUCCUGGAGGGACCUGAGGAGGGAAAGGGCCUCCUCUUGCUCCUUGGUGAAGCACUCCACCUCUUUGUUGUGUUCAAAAGAUAAUUUGGUGAGGGAGGAAGAGAGGAGGCGGCAGAUGGGCGCGGUAAGGACUCCUGCCACUUCAUCCGUCUCGAGUUCCUGCAGUUUUGGGAAAGGAAGCAGCUGCUCGCCCUGCAGCUCCCGUGCGGGAUCCCAAUCAGCAAAGAAUUUGGGGGUGCCGCGGACUUGUAAUGCGGUGAGCUGGCCCUGUGUAAGAAGAUGCAACAGGCCCUCACAUCUUAAAUCCUCACCCAAACAAUUAAUGCAUAAGUUCUCGACAGAGGCGAGGUUCGAGAGAAGCACUAGCGUGUCCAUGUUUCCCAUAGGAUCUUCAAGGAAGAGGCGUUGCAGGGAGGAUGGGAAAGGGCAACAGGAAGAGAGAUCGGACAGGAACUUGGGGCAACCUUCUAUUAUUAUUUUCUUGAGGGAGUGCAUGGCUUGCAGACCUCCUACUCCUGUCUCGUGGUUCUUGGCAGCCAGAAUAAGCUCUCGACAGCCCUUCAAGAUCAACUCCCUGAGAGAGCGGGAGAGAUGGGCCGGUAGGAGCAGCAGCCCAUCAUCGUCUUCUUCUUGUUCUACAACAACCUCCUCUAAUGAUGCUACUCCCUCUUCCUCCACCUCCUGCACUCUUUCUAGUUGCUCAUCUGUUCCAUGUGUAUCCUGCAAUUCAAUAGCAGCUGAAGAAGAUGGCAGUGAAUGCGAUGUUGCCGUUUGUUGA
rnacentral:rRNA from 1 species